UACGUAGGGUCCGAGCGUUAUCCGGAAUCACUGGGCGUAAAGCGUGCGUAGGCGGACAUUUAAGUGCCAUGCGAAAUUCUACGGCUCAACCGUAGAACUGUAUUGCAUACUGGAUGUCUUGAGGACGGCAGAGGCAAGUGGAAUUACAGGUGUAGGAGUGAAAUCCGUAGAGAUCUGUAGGAACACCAAUGGCGAAGGCAGCUUGCUGGGCCGUCCCUGACGCUAAGGCACGAAAGCGUGGGGAGCGAACAGG
rnacentral:rRNA from 1 species